rnacentral:lncRNA from 1 species
AUGAUCUCCGAUUGUCCUUUGGAAGGAAGGUCUAUUUCAUCCCAGUCGCACGAACCCCGCAAACGUGCGGCUGGACGAGGGAGGGAGGGAGGGAGGGAGGGAGGGAGGGAGGCCAACCACGGGAUUUCCGCACGACCAGCUGAUGGACACGACCGCCCCCGUGAGCCGGGCGGAGGGCAGCCGCCCGGGUCUCGCAGCUACGUGCCCGCGGAACCCUCGGACUGCGAGAAGCCCGAGCGACCCGCAGUCACGCGGCGCUCGGCGCGGACAUCUGGUCGGCCCGCGCGCCACGGGACCCGGGGGCCGAUUCCGGGCCGGGCCGCUGGUCGACCCGGCAGGGCGGCGGCCCCGGGGGCCUCGCCGCUGCUCGUCCGCAGGCUCCAGGGAGCCCUCGGGGCUCCGAGAAGCCCGAGCGCCCCGUGGCCCCGCGACCCCGCGGCGCUCGGCGCGGACAUCUGGUCGACCCGCGUGCCACCAGACCCGGGGGCCGGGUCGCCGGUCGACCCGGCAGGGCGGCGGCCCCGGCGGCCUCGCCGCUGCUCGUCCGCCGGGUCGCCGGAGCCCUCGAGCCUCCGAGAAGGCCGAGCGCCCCGCGGUCCCGCGCCGCUCGGCGCUCGCGCGGACAUCUGGUCGACCCGCGCGCCACGGGACCCGGGGGCCGAGUCCGGGCCGGGCCGCUGGUCGACCCGGCAGGGCGGCGGCCCCGGGGGCCUCGCGGCCGCUCGUCCGCAGCCUCCAGGGAGCCCCGAGGGCUCCGAGAAGCCCGUGCGCCCCGCGGCCCCGCGGCGCUCGGCGCGAACAUCUGGUCGACCCGCGCGCCCCGGGCCGGGGACCAAGUCCAGGCGGGACAGCUGGUCGACCCGGCAGGGCGGCGGCCCCCGGGGAGUCGCGCGCGCGAGUCCGCGGGUCUCUGGAGCCGACGGAGGCCAGGGAGCCCACCCAGACCGCCGAGAGCCCCGCGGCCCCGGCGCUCGGCGCGGACAUCUGGUCGACCCGCGCGCCCCGGGCCGGGGACCAAGUCCAGGCGGGACAGCUGGUCGACCCGGCAGGGCGGCGGCCCCCGGGGAGUCGCGCGCGCGAGUCCGCGGGGUCUCUGGAGCCGACGGAGGCCAGGGAGCCCACCCAGACCGCCGAGAGCCCCGCGGCCCCGCGGCGCUCGGCGCGGACAUCUGGUCGGCCCGCGCGCCCGGGCCGGGGACCAAGUCCGGGCGGGACAGCUGGUCGACCCGGCAGGGCGGCGGCCCCCGGGGAGUCGCGCGCGCGAGUCCGCGGGGUCUCUGGAGCCGACGGAGGCCAGGGAGCCCACCCAGACCGCCGAGAGCCCCGCGGCCCCGCGGCGCUCGGCGCGGACAUCUGGUCGACCCGCGCGCCCCGGGCCGGGGACCAAGUCCGGGCGGGACAGCUGGCCGACCCCUCCGCCCGGCCCGGCCUCCCGCCCGCACCUUCCCUCUCUCGCCCCACCCACGCGUCCGCGGCGGGUCGAACCACGCGGCGGGAUGCUGGUCGACCCGCACCGCGGACGGAGAGAGAGGGAGGCGCGGGGCGGGGAAGCGCAAGGGCCACGCACCGGCCGGCACGCCGACCCCGCCGGCACGCCGCGCCCUCGAGGCGCGGCGGCCGUCGGACCGCGGCCGCCCCGGGCGGCGUCCGCGCCGCGAGCGCACCGCCGAGGCCCCCCGGCCCGCGGCCCCCCUGGGAAAGGGGCCGCGGGGCCGCCCCCCGGCGGCCCACCGCUCGGCCGCGCCCGCCGCCCUCCCCUUCCCCCGUCCCAGCCCGGGGCGAGGCCCCGGCGGGGUCGGAGAGGGCGCGGCGCGGUGCCGAGGCGGGGACGCGCCGGAGGGGCGCCCUGCCCGCGCCUUCCGCUCGGCCUCCGCCGGCCGCCCGUCGGCGGCGGUCGGCGGGGCCGCGCCGGAGAGGGCGGUCGGGGAAGGACCGACCGACCGACCGACCGACGGACGACGAGACAAACCCUUGUGUCGAGGGCUGACUUUCAAUAGAUCGCAGCGAGGGAGCUGCUCUGCUACGUACGAAACCCUGACCCAGAAGCAGGUCGUCUACGAAUGGUUUAGCGCCAGGUUCCCCACGAACGUGCGCUGCGUGACGGGCGAGGGGGCGGCCGCCUUUCCGGCCGCGCCCCGUGUCCCGGGACGAGGGGCUCUCCGCACCGGACCCCGGUCCCGACGCGCGGGGGGGCGCGCCGCGCCGACGCGGGGGGCCGCGCGCGCGGCGGCCCGCCGGCGGGGACGGCGGGGACCCGGCUAUCCGAGGCCAACCGAGGCUCCCGCGGCGCUGCCGUAUCGUUCCGCCUGGGCGGGAUUCUGA